rnacentral:tRNA from 2 species
CCCUGGUUAGCUCAGUGGGUAGAGCGCUCCACCUGUAAUGGAGAGGUCUCGGGUUCGAUACCCGGACCAGGCG